rnacentral:rRNA from 1 species
AUGAGCUUAUCUGCCAUUGGGAUAAUUAGUGCCCUCAAUGAAUGUGUCACUUUGUUUCAGUGGGCCAAAUCUGCCAUUUCAUCUUUGCACUCCCGAUGGAGUGGCUCACAGGAGCAACAUCUUCAGGAUCGUGUAUUGCAGUUGGAGAGUGGCCUGCAAUGUCUCAGGGAUACUCUUCCUGCAAUGUACAGCCUCAUUAAUAAAGCAGAGUGGAGAAGCCACAACGACGGUGUGGCUAGUCUCCUUCCUAAUCUCAAGGAUGCAGUGUCUGAGGCCGAGGACCUUCUUGAUGAAUUCAGAUGGUAUGAGAAGAAGGUGCAAGUGGAGGGCAAUGCAAGCCAAUUUCCUUUCAUUGACUUCUUUGAUACUGUCAUCCAAGGCAGCUUCAACAAACUGAAUGAUGUCCAGUUGAGGUUGAACCAUCUUUCGAGACAGAUUGACACUAUGGUGCUUCAUGGAGUUACACAUCGCUUUGACAAAUUAGUCAGGCCAGAGACCACUUCUUUGCCAAAUGAAACAAAAAUAUUUGGUCGUGACAAGGAGCUGAAGCAGGUAUUGGGUUUUCUCAAUGUACCUGCAAAUUCAAAACGCAGGAGAGCAACUAGUUCAGUCAAUGCAUCAACCAGCGCACCAGUGAGCAACCAAGUUAGUACUGAAUCAAGGAUAUAUAGUCUUCCUGUUUUGCCAAUAGUUGGAAUUGGUGGUGUUGGAAAAACUACUUUGGCCCAACAUAUAUGCAAUCAUCAACGAGUGAAGUCUCACUUUGAGCUGAUAAUUUGGAUUUGCGUCUCCGAUGACUUUGACGUGAAGAGGUUAAUUAAAGAAGUUAUACAAUCUUGUACUGGAAAGGUGGUAACAAUUGAUAAUUUGGAUUUUCUUCAGCGUGCUCUCUCUAACCUUGUGACCAAUAAAAGGUUAUUGGUAGUCCUUGAUGACAUGUGGGAUGACGCCUUGAAGGAAAAUGAGCAGUGUUGGAAGAGGUUUAUUGCACCUUUUAGAAGUGUCCAAGAGGGUAGUGCGAUGUUGGUCACCACUAGAUGUCCAAAGGUUACCGAGGGGGUGCGCACAAUGGAGCCCGUCAUAUUAGAAGGUCUAAAGGAUGACGUCUUCUGGAAUUUCUUCAAGUCAUGCAUAUUUGGAUCUGAGAAUUCUGACAAUGAUCCUGAAUUAGAGCAUAUUGGCAGAAGUAUACUUCCUAAAUUGAAGGGUUCUCCAUUGGCCGCCAAAACUCUAGGACGGAUGUUAAGUAUGGACCUUCAAGCAUCACAUUGGAAUUUUAUACUUGAGAGUGAAUUAUGGGAGUUGAGACAAGAGCAGACUGACAUUUUGCCUGCACUUCGGUUGAGCUACAUGUAUUUACCAUUCUAUUUGAAGCAAUGCUUUGCAUUCUGCGCUGUGUACCCCAAAGAUUACAGAUUUGAGAAGGCAUGCUUAGCUGAAAUUUGGGCAGCAGAAGGCUUUGUGGAACCUCAAGGUGGUGUUCCAAUUCAAAAUAUUGGCUGUCAGUAUUUUGAAGACCUUGUUGCAAGGUCCUUCUUUCAAAAGGUUAAUGGUGGAUAUGUAAUCCAUGAUUUGCUGCAUGACAUGGCACAAAUGGUUUCAGAGCACCAUUGCUUCAUCUUAAGAAAUAAGAGUGACUUUGAUAAAAUUCCCCAGAAUGUUCGUCAUCUGUAUGUACUCUCUGGCAGUGAAUUUGACGAUUCCGACUUGUUGAGACUAUGCAAGUAUACGAAGUUGCGUACCUUAAUUUGCAAGAAGAGUUUAGGGAGAAAAGCAAGCUUUGUAAUGGACCACUGGUGUACUAAACUUCCGCGCAUGCGUGUGAUUUCUUGUGCCUCUGUAGAUGAGUUACCAGAUAGUAUUGGCAACUGGAAGCAUCUUCGGUACCUUGAAAUCUGCAGAGCUGGUCUUCUCAUGAAAAGGCUUCCUUCAACUUUGUGUUGGCUAUAUCAUCUGCAGAUUUUAUAUGCCAAGAAAUGCAAGCUAGAAAACUUGCCCGAUGACUUUGGUAAGUUGACUAGUUUGCAGAAAUUCGAAUCAGAUGGAUUAACAUAUUAUGCUGGGGAUCAAAUGACUUUUGAUCUAGAAAAAUGUGAGGAGGGAAAACGUAUAAGUUUAAUAAAGAAACUUAAUCAGUUUCGUGGACACUUGAAGAUAGCUAAUGGUGGCAUGCUAAGUAAGGAUCAGGCAGCAGAAGCUGAACUAAAGAAUAAGAAAUAUCUUGAUGAGUUGACACUCAAUAUGAAUUCACAGAGGUCUCAAACCAUCCAGGAGAAUGUGAUAGAAGUGCUUGAAGUUCUGCAACCUCCUAUCAGUCUCAAGUCUCUGUUACUCCAGAAUUAUGCUGGUGUCUCACUCCCAAGCUGGCUUUUGCCACAAAAUUUGCCAAGCUUAAAAUCACUUACUUUUGCAGGUUGUUUUGAACUCAAGAGCAUAUCAUCUCCCAUGAUCUCACAGGGCAUAAACUUAAAUGAGAUACCUGCAGUUGGUAUUUUCCUCUCCCUGGCAGAUGUAACCAUUGAUGGGUGCAGGAAUAUAUCAAGCCUCGAACAGUUUCUAUGCUCAGAUUAUGUGCCAGCCAUCAAGAAAAUAAGAAUUGAACAUUGUGAGAUGUUAGCAUCAGUACCUACCGAAAAGUUUGGAGAAUUUCAUUUCCUUGAAGAACUAGUCAUGUGUCAUUGUCCAAACAUCCGGCUCCAAAGAUUGGUGUCGCCGUCCCUUCAGAAGCUACAUCUCUGGCGUGCUGGUCUCUUUUGCAAUAUUGACUGCUGCUCCCUCACCUACUUUGAUUUAUCAUGCGAGUCUGUCACGUCCAUCAACCUGCAAACAUGGAGUCUUCCAGCUCUGCAAGAGUUGCACGUUGCGUGCAAAAAUCUUACAUCUAUUGGAGACUCCCCUAUUUUUUCCAUUUCUACAGGCACCAGCACCACUAGAGCAUUCUCGUUCCUUAAUGUUAUAUCAUUUUGGAUGUGUCAGAAAUUGUCAGCCCUUGAUGACUUCCUAACACAAGAAUAUGUACCUGCUGUUGAGAAAAUUGAAAUCAAAUGUUGUAGGGAGUUAAUGUCCCUGCCAGGUGAAAAUUUUGGGAGUUUUCCCUAUCUGAAACAUUUGGUGGUUAUUGAGUGUCCAAGUCUCAAGUGGCAAAGGGGAUUCACGUUGCCAUCAUCUCUCCAAAGGCUCAACUUGGCGCAAUGUGGGGAUAUCUCUCCAUACGUUCCCAGCUGCCUACUGAACCUUACAUCCCUCGUGUCACUGAGGAUGAUUGUGUGCCAGGGUAUAACAUCCAUUCCAGGCGACAUUUGGCGCAGUAAUCUUACAUCACUUGAGGAAUUGAGGAUUUCGGAUUGUCCAGACCUAGUUUCAUUUGGUGGAGCAAAGGCAGUAGUAAUGAUAAAGAAGGUAUUGAUAUGCCGGUGUCCAAACUUAAGGGGAGUAAAGGAGAUCAAUAGAGAAGAGCACUAA